rnacentral:rRNA from 1 species
UCAACGGAGAGUUUGAUCCUGGCUCAGGACGAAUGCUGGCUGCGUGCUUAACACAUGCAAGUCGAACGGUGAAGGAGGGCUUGCCCUCCCGAUCAGUGGCGAACGGGUGAGUAACACGUGGGCAACCUGCCCCUCACUCUGGGAUAACACCGGGAAACCGGUGCUAAUACCGGAUACGACCAGGCGCGACAUCGCGCCCGGUGGAAAGAACUUCGGU